GAUGAACGCUGGCGGCGUGCCUAAUACAUGCAAGUCGAGCGAACAGAUAAGGAGCUUGCUCCUUUGACGUUAGCGGCGGACGGGUGAGUAACACGUGGGUAACCUACCUAUAAGACUGGGAUAACUUCGGGAAACCGGAGCUAAUACCGGAUAACAUUUGGAACCGCAUGGUUCUAAAGUGAAAGAUGGUUUUGCUAUCACUUAUAGAUGGACCCGCGCCGUAUUAGCUAAUUGGUAAGGUAACGGCUUACCAAGGCGACGAUACGUAGCCGACCUGAGAGGGUGAUCGGCCACACUGGAACUGAGACACGGUCCAGACUCCUACGGGAGGCAGCAGUAGGGAAUCUUCCGCAAUGGGCGAAAGCCUGACGGAGCAACGCCGCGUGAGUGAUGAAGGGUUUCGGCUCGUAAAACUCUGUUAUUAGGGAAGAACAAAUGUGUAAGUAACUGUGCACGUCUUGACGGUACCUAAUCAGAAAGCCACGGCUAACUACGAG
rnacentral:rRNA from 1 species